AAUAUUCAGUGACUCAUGGCAGAGCCCUUGGGAUCUCAGCAAUCCCCGGUUUGACAGGAAGCUCUGCAGUCAUGACCUGCCUCAAGCUUCUCGUUGCUGGGAGGAAUAGAAUUACACAGAUGAACAAAUGGCUCCUUCUGUUAAAUCUUGCAACACACAUGGCCUUACCAGGGCCUGGCAAAUUAUCUGGCUGGGAGAAUCCAGAUCGAGGACUCCAAGAGUGAGUUGGUCAUCUCUGAGGUCUUCAUCGGCCAGUCAACCUUUGUGGGCAUCGUCCCUCUUGCCAUGGACACCGAGGUUUUGAACACCGCCAUUCUCACCGGAAAGCCUGUUUCGGUUCCCGUCAAAGUCGUGGGUGUUCAGGAGGAUGGUUCUGUGGUUGACGUGUCUGAG